rnacentral:lncRNA from 1 species
AUAGGCAAGAUCCCCAAGGCCUGGUGGUCUCCAUGGGCCCCAUUAAACACCUGAGGAUUAAAGAUUCCAAGAAGCCUGGAUCCUCCCCACUCCAUAUUGCUGCCUGACAGGGGUUGAGGUGACGAGGGGAGCAUUGGUUUCCCUGGGGGAAUAAUUAAAGCUCUUUGGUGCUGAGCCAGAUCUGACAAGACUAAUGGUCCGUGUGAGCCAAGGCUCCAUGAGUUGUAUUAGCCAGAGAGUGGAGGAAGCCACAGCCGCUGCCACAGCCAGCCGCCACAGCCAGCCACCAUCAGGGCACCGAGGAUGUGCGCGCCCUGGAGGACUUCAGGCUCAGAGCCAUUCAGGGCCGGUGAGAAAGCUGAGGAUGGCAGGUACCUUCUCUCUAUGAGUCAUUGGUUGCCUCUGCCAACCAGAGACAAUGAUGGACAUUUACAUACUUCCAACGUCAGCAUGAAGGGUGAGUGUGGAACGCCACCUCUCUGCUGACCCAUCUGCAGGGCAGUGAGAUGGGCAGAGGCUGCCACUGGUCACUCACAAGUUCAUUCAAGAAUUAGCAGCUGAGGGCCAGACCCAUGCCAGAGCCAGCGCAAUAGAGAACCCCUGGCUCUCACUGUGGCAGCCCUCCAAGGUGCCCUCUCCUCCACCCGUCCGCCUGCCUGGGAGAUGCUGAGAGUGAGUGAACCUGCCCCUGGGAAAGAGCCAGGACUCCUAUGGGGGCUGCACGUGGGUGCCCCGCCUUGGCCACUGCUCCUGGCCACUUGAACUCUCUGGUAAGUGAAACGACACUUACACACUCUUGGAAUGACGCCCCCUGAGAGAUGCUGCUGAUUCAAGGGUAGCUCAGAAAACUGGUCAUCCAGACCUGAAGUUGGUCUCCUAAUUUGACAUAAUGGAAUAGAAUAGAAAGAAGCCACACACGUGGUCCCGCAACAUCUUAGUCCCUGAGAACCGCAGCGUUCCUCUCAGGGGCCAUUUGUGCUCACCCCUAGUGCCGUGCGGGACACAACUGAAUCAUGUCUGAAUAUCGUUGCAGGGAAUUUUUUCUGCUUAUAUCAACAUACGGACCUCAGACUCAGGACUUGUCCUAAAUUCUACCUUCUACGAAACCUGUAAGGGGAUUAAUUUAUUUAAAAUUCUAAUUUAAUUUCAUUAUACAAAUACGCACUUCUGCAUAUUUUUUGCAUAAAUGUGAGCAUGUGCCAGCUUCUGGUGCAGUUUUCUUUCUCUUGUGUGACUCUCCCAAGCACUUCUUUCACCUCCUGACCCCAGAAGCAACCGCUUCCCUGCUCUAAAUGGUGAUUUAUGCCGGGCUGCGUGCACAGUGCGUCGCAGCCACACUGGCCUCCCCUCGCCUGAUCUCAUCUGAUGCUCCUGAGGGCCUGCUGGAAGGCAGGGCGGGACUUGAAGGCAUACUUCGCAGGAGGAGCAUGGCUAGAUGAGGGGAAACAGCUCCCCAGAGUCCACCAGCAGAUCCCGGGAAGGCUGGACAGAGUCCAGGGCCGCAGGCUCCUUCAAGCCGUCUUCUAGAAUAGACCGAUGAAGAGGACUAGCACUUAACACCUUAUGCGGUCCCUUGGGCAGCCUCCACGGAGCUUUGUGCAGAAUUGUUCAUCUCUCCAGCUGCAGCUAUCUGAACAUAGCAUUAGACCAGAUCCCGCCCCCUGGCAUGGUUGUGUGGAUGGGGUGAGACAUAGUCUGCGCAGCCAGUGGGGAACGCCCUGUGGGAAGCCCCCAGGACACCAAGGCAUGGCAGUGGUGUGAUGAUUCAAGAGGCAGCAGGUCUGGGUUGGGGCCUGGGAGUCUGCAUUUCUAACAAGUCCAGGGGACGGGUG